CAUCCCCAGUGGAAAAGCGGAAGGCAGGGGUGCCAACUUGAAUAAAAUAUUGGGGGGCCCAGGUAAGCCCCGCCCCAGAUAAUUGAUUACAAAAUGAGGGGCACAGACACCAUAGGAAUAGCAAUGCGCACCAACUCAAAUAUUUUAGGGGGGGGCAAAGGGACUUCAGCCCCUAGGAGUUGACUGCUAUGGCGGAGGGCUUGGGAAAGAUCGUGGCCCCGCGGUAAAAGCACUCUCCCCUCUCCGGUCCUGGGAAAGCGAUGUUCCUUCCUGAAACGCAAGGCGGGUCAAGAGGCGGCGGCGGUGGUGGUGAUCUUCGCGUCCGGUCGUCCUCGGAUGGCUGCGGGUGCAAAUCCCUCGAAGAGAAGGGCGCAGGACGGGGGCGCGAUGGCCAGGGAACACCGCCAGCACGCAGGGCCUAUUUAGGGUGAGCAAAGGAUUACUCCGCCGCGAGGGAGUGGCCGGCUUGACAUCUCCGUGGUCGGAAGGCUGGGUGAAAAGUCCGGAACGACGUCAAUCAUUCCGUUGGCAGCUGUCGUUCAAAGACCGAAGCAAAAGGAGAGCGGACAAGGUGUCCUGGGACUCAGUGCUAAAGGAGCAACUUAUUGAAGGAGGCUUAUUUCUUCGCUGCUGAGGAAGAUGGACAGAAGAUAGCCAACGCUUCCAAAGCUAGGAUCUGAACCCAGGUCCCAGCCCACUGUUCAGUCCAUUCGUGACCAAUUUAAAGGUCUGAUACUGAAAAGUCCUUUUAGAUAGCUAGCUUGUUCACUUAACUUCAGAAGAUGAAAUCCGGUCUGGUUCAUCUGUCCCUACCUGCAUCUUUUACAAGGGAGGUUUGUUUUGCUAAAUGUGUUUUCUGUCCAGCUUGUAGGCAAGGGGAACUAUUUAUUUUUAAUACUGCUCUUUCGCGCAAAUGCAUUUCUGUCUAAAAGAGCUGUUUUAAUUGUAAAAAUAGAAAUACCAUAAAUUGUCCCUUCAGCACCUGGUUGUGGGAAAAGGCA